UACGGAGGGGGUUAGCGUUGUUCGGAAUGACUGGGCGUAAAGCGCGCGUAGGCGGAUCAGGAAGUUGGGGGUGAAAUCCCGGGGCUCAACCCCGGAACUGCCCUUGAAACUGCAGUGCUAGAAUCUUGGAGAGGCGAGUGGAAUUCCGAGUGUAGAGGUGAAAUUCGUAGAUAUUCGGAAGAACACCAGUGGCGAAGGCGACUCGCUGGACAAGUAUUGACGCUGAGGUGCGAAAGCGUGGGGAGCAAACAGGG
rnacentral:rRNA from 1 species